rnacentral:misc_RNA from 1 species
GAUGAAAGAACGUAGCGAAAUGCGAUAAGUAAUGUGAAUUGCAGAAUUCAGUGAAUCAUCGAAUCUUUGAACGCACCUUGCGCUCGCUGGUAUUCCGGGGAGCACGCCUGUUCGAGUGUCGCGAAAUUCUUCAAGCCUUGGAUGGAUUUUUAUUUGUCUGUCCUUGGGCUUGGUUGUUGGGCUCUGCCGUGUCCUUCAUUGGGACGGCUGGCCUUAAAAGCAUUAGCCGAUCCUCGUGUGGUACUGGUUCUACUCAGCGUGAUAACAAUCUGAUCGUUGAGGACAUCUUCUGGAUGGCCAGUCAUCAUUUGGGUUGCUUCUAAACCGGUUUCGCAGAUUGCUCAAUCUGUGUGCCACUUUUCAGCUUUGACCUCGAAUCAGGUGGGACUACCCGCUGAACUUAAGCAUAUCAAUAAGCGGAGGA